rnacentral:rRNA from 1 species
GACGAACGCUGGCGGCGUGCCUAAUACAUGCAAGUAGAACGCUGAAGGAGGAGCUUGCUUCUCUGGAUGAGUUGCGAACGGGUGAGUAACGCGUAGGUAACCUGCCUGGUAGCGGGGGAUAACUAUUGGAAACGAUAGCUAAUACCGCAUAAUAGUAGAUGUUGCAUGACAUUUGCUUAAAAGGUGCAAUUGCAUCACUACCAGAUGGACCUGCGUUGUAUUAGCUAGUUGGUGGGGUAACGGCUCACCAAGGCGACGAUACAUAGCCGACCUGAGAGGGUGAUCGGCCAAAAUGGGACUGAGACACGGCCCAGACUCCUACGGGAGGCAGCAGUAGGGAAUCUUCGGCAAUGGACGGAAGUCUGACCGAGCAACGCCGCGUGAGUGAAGAAGGUUUUCGGAUCGUAAAGCUCUGUUGUAAGAGAAGAACGAGUGUGAGAGUGGAAAGUUCACACUGUGACGGUAUCUUACCAGAAAGGGACGGCUAACUACGUG